rnacentral:rRNA from 1 species
UACGUAGGGUGCAAGCGUUAAUCGGAAUUACUGGGCGUAAAGCGUGCGCAGGCGGUUUUGUAAGUCUGUCGUGAAAUCCCCGGGCUCAACCUGGGAAUUGCGAUGGAGACUGCAAGGCUAGAAUCUGGCAGAGGGGGGGUAGAAUUCCACGUGUAGCAGUGAAAUGCGUAGAGAUGUGGGAGGAACACCGAUGGCGAAGGCAGCCCCCUGGGUCAAGAUUGACGCUCAUGCACGAAAGCGUGG